CUAAGUGACAAAGCGUACAAGGUGGAUGCCUUGGCAAUCAGAGGCGAAGAAGGACGUGCUAAUCUGCGAAAAGCUUGGAUGAGUCGAUAAGAGGCGUUUAAUCCAAGAUGUCCGAAUGGGGAAACCCAGUAGAUGAAGAAUCUACUAUCACUUACUGAAUUCAUAGGUAAGUGAGGCGAACCGGGAGAACUGAAACAUCUAAGUACCCCGAGGAAAAGAAAUCAACCGAGAUUUCGUUAGUAGCGGCGAGCGAACGCGAAGGAGCCUGUUAGUGAUAAUGACAGAGACAGAGGAACAAGCUGGGAAGCUUGGCGAUACAGGGUGAUAGCCCCGUACUCGAAGUCCAGGUCAUGGUACUAAGCUAACGACAAGUAGGGCGGGACACGUGAUAUCCUGUUUGAAGAAGGGGGGACCAUCCUCCAAGGCUAAAUACUCCUGAUUGACCGAUAGUGAACCAGUACUGUGAAGGAAAGGCGAAAAGAACCCCGGUGAGGGGAGUGAAAUAGAACCUGAAACCUUGUACGUACAAGCAGUGGGAGCCCUUUAAGGGUGACUGCGUACCUUUUGUAUAAUGGGUCAGCGACUUAUAUUUUGUAGCGAGGUUAACCGAAUAGGGGAGCCGAAGGGAAACCGAGUCUUAACUGGGCGUCUAGUUGCAAGGUAUAGACCCGAAACCCGGUGAUCUAGCCAUGGGCAGGUUGAAGGUUGGGUAACACUAACUGGAGGACCGAACCGACUAAUGUUGAAAAAUUAGCGGAUGACUUGUGGCUGGGGGUGAAAGGCCAAUCAAACCGGGAGAUAGCUGGUUCUCCCCGAAAUCUAUUUAGGUAGAGCCUUGAGCGGACACCUUCGGGGGUAGAGCACUGUUUCGGCUAGGGGUCCAUCCCGGAUUACCAACCCGAUGCAAACUACGAAUACCGAAGAGUGAUACUCAGGAGACACACGGCGGGUGCUAACGUCCGUCGUGGAGAGGGAAACAACCCAGACCGCCAGCUAAGGUCCCAAAGUCUAUAUUAAGUGGGAAACGAAGUGGGAAGGCUUAGACAGCUAGGAUGUUGGCUUAGAAGCAGCCAUCAUUUAAAGAAAGCGUAAUAGCUCACUAGUCGAGUCGGCCUGCGCGGAAGAUGUAACGGGGCUCAAAUAUAGCACCGAAGCUGCGGCAUCAGACGAAAGUCUGUUGGGUAGGGGAGCGUUCUGUAAGCGGAUGAAGAUGGCUCGAGAGGGCUGUUGGACGUAUCAGAAGUGCGAAUGCUGACAUAAGUAACGAUAAAACGGGUGAAAAACCCGUUCGCCGGAAGACCAAGGGUUCCUGUCCAACGUUAAUCGGGGCAGGGUGAGUCGGCCCCUAAGGCGAGGCUGAAAAGCGUAGUCGAUGGGAAACGGGUUAAUAUUCCCGUACUUGGAUAAACUGCGAUGUGGGGACGGAGCAGGUUAGGUUAUCGCACUGUUGGAUAUGUGCGUUUAAGUUUGUAGGUGUGAAGUUUAGGCAAAUCCGGACUUCUUUAACACUGAGAGAUGAUGACGAGGCUCUACGGAGCUGAAGUAACCGAUACCACACUUCCAGGAAAAGCCACUAAGCUUCAGGUUUAUCUAAACCGUACUGAAAACCGACACAGGUGGUCAGGUAGAGAAUACUCAGGCGCUUGAGAGAACUCGGGUGAAGGAACUAGGCAAAAUAGCACCGUAACUUCGGGAGAAGGUGCGCCGGCGUAGAUUGUAGUCCCUUGCGGAUGAAGGUUGAACCGGUCGAAGAUACCAGCUGGCUGCAACUGUUUAUUAAAAACACAGCACUCUGCAAACACGAAAGUGGACGUAUAGGGUGUGACGCCUGCCCGGUGCUGGAAGGUUAAUUGAAGAUGUGAGAGCAUCGGAUCGAAGCCCCAGUAAACGGCGGCCGUAACUAUAACGGUCCUAAGGUAGCGAAAUUCCUUGUCGGGU
rnacentral:rRNA from 1 species